AGUGAACGCUGGCGGUAGGCCUAACACAUGCAAGUCGAACGGCAACACAGUAAGAGCUUGCUCUUACGGGUGGCGAGUGGCGGACGGGUGAGGAAUACAUCGGAAUCUACUUUUUCGUGGGGGAUAACGUAGGGACACUUACGCUAAUACCGCAUCCGACCUACGGGUGAAAGCAGGAGAUCUUCGGACCUUGCGCGAUUGAAUGAGCCGAUGUCGGAUUAGCUAGUUGGCGGGGUAAAGGCCCACCAAGGCGACGAUCCGUAGCUGGUCUGAGAGGAUGAUCAGCCACACUGGAACUGAGACACGGUCCAGACUCCUACGGGAGGCAGCAGUGGGGAAUAUUGGACAAUGGGCGCAAGCCUGAUCCAGCCAUACCGCGUGGGUGAAGAAGGCCUUCGGGUUGUAAAGCCCUUUUGUUGGGGAAGAAAAGCAGCAGGUUAAUACCCCGCUGUUCUGACGGUACCCAAAGAAUAAGCACCGGCUAACUUCGUG
rnacentral:rRNA from 1 species